rnacentral:rRNA from 1 species
GACGAACGCUGGCGGCGUGCUUAACACAUGCAAGUCGAACGGAAAGGCCCUGCUUUUGUGGGGUGCUCGAGUGGCGAACGGGUGAGUAACACGUGAGUAACCUGCCCUUGACUUUGGGAUAACUUCAGGAAACUGGGGCUAAUACCGGAUAGGAGCUCCUGCUGCAUGGUGGGGGUUGGAAAGUUUCGGCGGUUGGGGAUGGACUCGCGGCUUAUCAGCUUGUUGGUGGGGUAGUGGCUUACCAAGGCUUUGACGGGUAGCCGGCCUGAGAGGGUGACCGGCCACAUGGGGACUGGGAUACGGCCCAGACUCCUACGGGAGGCAGCAGUGGGGAAUAUGGCACAAUGGGCGGAAGCCUGAUGCAGCAACGCCGCGUGCGGGAUGACGGCCUUCGGGUUGUAAACCGCUUUCGCCUGUGACGAAGCGUGAGUGACGGUAAUGGGUAAAGAAGCACCGGCUAACUACGU